AUGGACGAAAGUCUGACGGAGCAACGCCGCGUGAGUGAUGACGGCCUUCGGGUUGUAAAGCUCUGUUAAUCGGGACGAAAGGCCUUCUUGCGAACAGUUAGAAGGAUUGACGGUACCGGAAUAGAAAGCCACGGCUAACUACGUGCCAGCAGCCGCGGUAAUACGUAGGUGGCAAGCGUUGUCCGGAAUUAUUGGGCGUAAAGCGCGCGCAGGCGGAUCAGUCAGUCUGUCUUAAAAGUUCGGGGCUUAACCCCGUGAUGGGAUGGAAACUGCUGAUCUAGAGUAUCGGAGAGGAAAGUGGAAUUCCUAGUGUAGCGGUGAAAUGCGUAGAUAUUAGGAAGAACACCAGUGGCGAAGGCGACUUUCUGGACGAAAACUGACGCUGAGGCGCGAAAGCCAGGGGAGCGAACGGGAUUAGAUACCCCGGUAGUCCUGGCCGUAAACGAUGGAUACUAGGUGUGGGAGGUAUCGACCCCUACCGUGCCGGAGUUAACGCAAUAAGUAUCCCGCCUGGGGAGUACGGCCGCAAGGCUGAAACUCAAAGGAAUUGACGGGGGCCCGCACAG
rnacentral:rRNA from 1 species